rnacentral:rRNA from 1 species
UACGAAGGGGGCUAGCGUUGCUCGGAAUGACUGGGCGUAAAGGGUGCGUAGGCGGCGCGGUAAGUCGGGUGUGAAAUCUCGGGGCUUAACUCCGAAACUGCAUUCGAUACUGCCGUGCUUGAGGACUGGAGAGGAGACUGGAAUUUACGGUGUAGCGGUGAAAUGCGUAGAUAUCGUAAGGAAGACCAGUGGCGAAGGCGGGUCUCUGGACAGUUCCUGACGCUGAGGCACGAAGGUCAGGGGAGCAAACGGG